CCUACGGGUGGCAGCAGUGGGGAAUAUUGGACAAUGGGGGCAACCCUGAUCCAGCCAUGCCGCGUGUGUGAAGAAGGCCCUCGGGUUGUAAAGCACUUUCAAUGAGGAAGAACGCCUGGUGGUUAAUACCCAUCAGGAAAGACAUCACUCACAGAAGAAGCACCGGCUAACUCCGUGCCAGCAGCCGCGGUAAUACGGAGGGUGCGAGCGUUAAUCGGAAUUACUGGGCGUAAAGCGCGCGUAGGUGGCUUGAUAAGCCGGUUGUGAAAGCCCCGGGCUCAACCUGGGAACGGCAUCCGGAACUGUCAAGCUAGAGUGCAGGAGAGGAAGGUAGAAUUCCCGGUGUAGCGGUGAAAUGCGUAGAGAUCGGGAGGAAUACCAGUGGCGAAGGCGGCCUUCUGGACUGACACUGACACUGAGGUGCGAAAGCGUGGGUAGCAAACAGGAUUAGAUACCCCAGUAGUC
rnacentral:rRNA from 1 species